AGGGAGCAAGCUUUAGGAUUAAGCAAAAUCAAAAUUCUCUCUCUCCUCUCAUACCUCACGCCCCUUACCUCUCUCGCAUCUCUCUCUCUUUUCUCUUCCAUGAACCUCCAUUGUUGAGACCUUCAAAGCUUCUAAGAACAACUCUAUACUUAGAUUUCCACCUAAAAUCAAAUCAAAACUCAUCUACAUGCCUCAAAGACCAAGAUUGGCAGAGAUUAAAGCUUGAAGUCUAGAGUAAAGAAUUUUCAUUUUCUCUCUAAAUUUUUGAAGUUGUGAGAAUCAUCUCGUGUGGAGCUUGAAAGACCAUAACUGACCUGUGAGCAUCAUCUCAUGUGGAGCUUGAAAGACCAUAACUGACUUGUGAGCAUCAUCUCGUGUGGAGCUUGAAAGAUCAUAACUGAUUUGUGCGCCAGAACAGAGCCAAGCUCGCGCCAGAACUGAAUGCCAGAGCAGAGCAUAACGGAAUGCCAGAGCAGAGCAAAACACAUUGCCAGAGCAGAGCAAACUAAGUCCAGAGCAGAGCAUGUUUUCCAGAGCUGGCGUCCUAGAGCAGAACAGAGCCAAGCUCGCGCCAGAACAGAAUGCUAGAGCAGAGCAGAAUAGAAUGCCAGAGCAUAGCAGAAUGGAAUGCCAGAGCAGAGCAGAGCAGAACAUAUUACCAGAGCAGAGCAAACUUCCAGAGCCAAAUUCGCGCCAGAACAUAAUGCCAGAGCAGAGCAGAACAAAUUGUCAUAGCAGAGCAAACUUCAAGAGCCAAGUUCGCACCAGAACUAAAUGCCAGAGUAGAGCAGAAUAGAAUGCCAGAGCAGAGCAAACAUCCAUAGCAAAACAGAGCAUGUUUUCCAGAGCUGGCGUCCAGAGCAGAACAGAGCCAAGCUUGCGCCAGAACUGAAUGCCAGAGCAAAGCAGAAUAGAAUGCCAGAGCAGAGCAGAAUCCAAUGCCAAAGCAGAGCCAAAGCAAAGCAAAUUCCAGAGCCAGAGGAGAGCAAACUUUCAGAGCUGAAAGUCUAGAGCAGAGCAGAGAUGUUUUCCAGAGCUGGCGUUCAGAGGAGAACAGAGCCAAGCUUGCGCCAGAACAGAAUGCCAGGGCAGAGCAGAAUAAAAUGCCAGAGUAGAGCAGAACGGAAUGCUAGAGCAGAGCAAAACAUAGUGCCAGAGCAGAUCAUAACAGAUUGCCAGAGCUGAGCAGAAUUCCAGAGCCAAAGCAGAGCAUGUUUUCCAGAGCUGGCGUCUGGUAAGCUAAGUUCCAGAGCUGACUGAAGUCCAGAGUAGAGCUAAGUUCCAGAGUUAUCAAAACUUGCCGAACAAGUUUCUUUUAAGUUUCCUUGUUUUUAAGUUUCCUUUGUUUUAAGUUGUUUCUUUAAUUAGAAUUAGGUUUAGUUUUUGCCUGCUGCAUGUCAACGAAUUAAUUAACCUUUGAUUUAUAAAAUUUGUGAGUUUUAUUCUCUCUUGA